GUUUCCAUAGUGUAGUGGUUGUCAUGUUUGCCUCACACGCAAAACGUCCCUGGUUCGAAACCCGGUGGAAACA